rnacentral:rRNA from 1 species
UACAGAGGGUGCAAGCGUUGUUCGGAAUUAUUGGGCGUAAAGGGUGCGUAGGCGGUGCGGUAAGUCUGUAGUGAAAUCUCUGGGCUCAACUCAGAGUCUGCUAUAGAAACUGCCGUGCUUGAGUGUGGGAGAGGUGAGUGGAAUUCCCGGUGUAGCGGUGAAAUGCGCAGAUAUCGGGAGGAACACCGGUGGCGAAGGCGGUUCUCUGGAACGCAACUGACGCUGAGACGCGAAAGCGUGGGGAGCAAACAGG